rnacentral:rRNA from 1 species
CUACGGGAGGCAGCAGUGAGGAAUAUUGCACAAUGGGGGGAACCCUGAUGCAGCAACGCCGCGUGGAGGAUGACGCAUUUCGGUGUGUAAACUCCUUUUAUAUGUCAAGAAAAUGACGGUAGCAUAUGAAUAAGCACCGGCUAACUCCGUGCCAGCAGCCGCGGUAAUACGGAGGGUGCAAGCGUUACUCGGAAUCACUGGGCGGAAAGGACGCGUAGGCGGGUUGGAAAGUCAGGUGUGAAAUCCUACAGCUUAACUGUAGAACUGAACUUGAAACUUCUAAUCUAGAGUAUGGGAGGGGGAGAUGGAAUUAGUGGUGUAGGGGUAAAAUCCGUAGAUAUCACUAGGAAUACCUAAAGCGAAGGCGAUCUCCUGGAACAUUACUGACGCUAAGGCGUGAAAGCGUGGGGAGCAAACAGGAUUAGAUACCCGAGUAGUC